UGAAAAUCCAAACAGAGCCCAAGUCCAAGCCUCAUAGCUAGAAAGUUGGAACCGCAUGCAUCUAUGGCACAUAAAUUCUAUACAUCUUUCAAAAGAUUUUUUAUCCACCUUCCGGUGUUUGAGAUCCAUGCAAUCAAUCUCAUCCAUUGGACCUCCUUCAAUCCUAACCUUCUGCUCCUGCUGCCUCCUUCCCUACCAUGGGCGCCGCCUCCUCCUCCUGAAUCCGAGCUCCGCCCGCCAUGGCGCCGCACUUGCUCGGCGUGCUCCGCUGCCGCCCGCUGCUCCGCGCGCCGACCGCCGGCUCUGAAGAAGAAGAUUUAUAGGAGCGGGAGUUUUCCGCUUCAUUUCCGAUCCGGCCAGUCAGUCAACGCAACACACAGCUACCUCUCUGUUUCGCACUAUACAGUGCUCAAAGCGCCCCCUGCUCCUUAGCUACUUCAGAAAGCUGAGUGGACGGAGUCACUCAGCUCAUCCUAGGAAGGAUGAGAGCCGUACGUCCGCUGCAUUUCGACAUUUCGUCGACCUUUCCACUUGCUGGUUCCCUGCAUCUCUAUAAAAACAGCGCGAGCGGUGCUGUGUGAUCACCAUCAGUUGGUGGGUGCUUCGCUGGGGUGCAGUGCACGCAGCAAGAAAACUGAGUCUCAGCAGAUACCUGCAGAUCAGCUUCUGACCAGUACUUUCCUCUAUCUAAUGGGGGAAAUGGUGGCUUCAGCCCUUGCUCAGGAGGGCGUGAGCAGGCUGUCCUCGUACAUCUCAACCAAGCUCGAUGAUAGGGCAUCCAGAGCACACACCGUCGCAAGGCUCGAGAUGGCACUCUCUCGCUUGGAGUUUGUCCUUGAAUGGUCCAGGAAGCAGCCAAUCACAUACGUCUCGCUGAUCCGUCGCUGGAACAAGUUCAGGUGCGCCUACCAUGAGGGAGUAUAUCUACUCAACAAGCACAAGCUGCCGGCGCUCGAAGGCCAUGAAGAAACUGGUGGGUAAGUGGUGGUAACGCGUCCCCCCUCCUUCCUUGGACGGAUUAUUGCUAGUGCUGCGAGCUUCUCCAUCUCAUCUCUUGCUGGCCUAAACAAGCAGUGCUUGAGCUCUAACGUUGUCCAAAUCAUUGAGGUGUACGCAGAUAGUGUUGGCGAGUUUGUAGCGGACGUGGAGUCCGCCUGCCCACUCCGGCGCGACACCUUCUUCCCCUACCCAUUUGUCAGGCAACUUCUUCAAGGGAAAUAUCUCAGCUAUAACAAGGUGAAAGGAAGACAAAAGCACCAUUUUAUUGUAUCUCCUGUGAUUCUGGAAGGGCGUGGCGUAGAGGCGUUGCUAUGGUAUGAGUAUUUCGAUCCUGAGAGGCUAGAUAAAAGUUUAUGUCUAGGCUUAGUGCUACGGCUGUCGGAAAGCACGGACAUAGUUGGGGCUGCUAUAGAUUGCUUGCGGUCAUCCGCAUCACUGCUCAACCUUCCAGCUCAAGAUGCAGUAAUGGGAGAGCUCACCCAGGUGCCUAAUUUACAGGACAUUACGGAUUCGUAUGCUUCACCCUGGGUUUUUGACUUUGAAGACUGCUAUCCUUGCUUUAGUAAAUGCUCACGCCCGGAUCCACUAUGUUGCCAACGAAAUGGGCACGAGUUAUCGCACAUAUUCCAAGAGCAAACUAUUUUUUUCAAUUCCAGUUGUUACGUCACAGCACGAGAUUACAACUUGCCUAGCGCAUCUAACGAAGCUGGUACAAACGUCAUUACAGAUCCAUCAUAUCUUCAGCUGCAGGUUAUAUUCCACCCUCACAAAUCGAGUUACAACAAUUAUGUAAACGAGGCCAUGGGUGAAAGCAAAAUAGAAGAACAGCCAUUUGGUAGCAUACAACAAACGGUUGAUAUGAUAAGAUCAAGAUCAAUCGACUAUCUCAUCCGUCAGCUAGAGGUGAUAGAGUAUUAUUGGGUGUCCUGGUGCUCUAGACAUGGUUAUGCAAAUUUUACUGUGAGAAAGCCAAGUAUGGGCACGGCAGGUGUGCCCAAAGCCAGCGGCAGGUACAACACCCGGAGUGCAGCUGCAAAGAGAAAGCGGUAGAAGCUAGCCUUGGUGUUGUCUCAACUAGCUAGUAUACAUAUUGUGUGCUGAUAUUUGAGAAAUGAAUUGUGAUGUUGCAGUUCU